AUGCUUAUGUCUUGCACUUGAUACUAAAAUGGAAUGAUACAGAGAUUAGCAUGGCCCCUGCACAAGGAUGAUGUGCAAAUUUGUGAAGCAUUUCAUGUAAAA
rnacentral:snRNA from 1 species